rnacentral:rRNA from 1 species
CAGCCGCCGCGGUAAUACGUAGGGUGCAAGCGUUAAUCGGAAUUACUGGGCGUAAAGCGUGCGCAGGCGGUUAUAUAAGACAGAUGUGAAAUCCCCGGGCUCAACCUGGGAACUGCAUUUGUGACUGUAUAGCUAGAGUACGGCAGAGGGGGAUGGAAUUCCGCGUGUAGCAGUGAAAUGCGUAGAUAUGCGGAGGAACACCGAUGGCGAAGGCAAUCCCCUGGGCCUGUACUGACGCUCAUGCACGAAAGCGUGGGGAGCAAACAGGAUUAGAGACCCCAGUAGUCCCUGUCUCUUAUAC